CGGGAGUCGGAUCGUUUACUUUGAAAAAAUCAGAGUGUUUCAAGCAGGCAGCUCGCUCUUGCAUGGAUUAGCAUGGGAUAAUGAAAUAGGACUUUGGUGCUAUUUUGUUGGUUUCGAACACCGAAGUAAUGAUUAAAAGGGACAGUCAGGGGCACUCGUAUUCCGCCGAGAGAGGUGAAAUUCUCAGACCAGCGGAAGACGAACCACUGCGAAAGCAUUUGCCAGGGAUGUUUUCACUGAUCAAGAACGAAAGUUAGGGGA
rnacentral:rRNA from 11 species